UACAGAGGGUGCGAGCGUUGUUCGGAAUUAUUGGGCGUAAAGGGCGCGUAGGCGGUGCGGUAAGUCACCUGUGAAAUCUCCUGGCUCAACUGGGAGCUUGCAGGCGAAACUGCCGUGCUGGAGUGUGGGAGAGGUGCGUGGAAUUCCUGGUGUAGCGGUGAAAUGCGCAGAUAUCAGGAAGAACACCCGUGGCGAAGGCGGCUCUCUGGAACGCAACUGACGCUGAGACGCGAAAGCGUGGGGAGCAAACAGG
rnacentral:rRNA from 1 species